rnacentral:rRNA from 1 species
AGUGAACGCUGGCGGUAGGCCUAACACAUGCCAGUCGAACGGCAGCACAGUAAGAGCUUGCUCUUACGGGUGGCGAGUGGCGGACGGGUGAGGAAUACAUCGGAAUCUACUUUUUCGUGGGGGAUAACGUAGGGAAACUUACGCUAAUACCGCAUACGACCUACGGGUGAAAGCAGGGGAUCUUCGGACCUUGCGCGAUUGAAUGAGCCGAUGUCGGAUUAGCUAGUUGGCGGGGUAAAGGCCCACCAAGGCGACGAUCCGUAGCUGGUCUGAGAGGAUGAUCAGCCACACUGGAACUGAGACACGGUCCAGACUCCUACGGGAGGCAGCAGUGGGGAAUAUUGGACAAUGGGCGCAAGCCUGAUCCAGCCAUACGGCGUGGGUGAAGAAGGCCUUCGGGUUGUAAAGCCCUUUUGUUGGGAAAGUAAAGCAGCAGGUUAAUACCCCGCUGUUCUGACGGUACCCAAAGAAUAAGCACCGGCUAACUUCGUG